rnacentral:rRNA from 1 species
CCUACGGGUGACAGCAGUCGAGAAUCAUUCACAAUGGGGGAAACCCUGAUGGUGCGACGCCGCGUGGGGGAAUGAAGGUCUUCGGAUUGUAAACCCCUGUCAUGUGGGAGCAAAUUAAAAAGAUAGUACCACAAGAGGAAGAGACGGCUAACUCUGUGCCAGCAGCCGCGGUAAUACAGAGGUCUCAAGCGUUGUUCGGAAUCACUGGGCGUAAAGCGUGCGUAGGCUGUUUCGUAAGUCGUGUGUGAAAGGCGCGGGCUCAACCCGCGGACGGCACAUGAUACUGCGAGACUAGAGUAAGGGAGGGGGAACCGGAAUUCUCGGUGUAGCAGUGAAAUGCGUAGAUAUCGAGAGGAACACUCGUGGCGAAGGCGGGUUCCUGGACAUUAACUGACGCUGAGGCACGAAGGCCAGGGGAGCGAAAGGGAUUAGAUACCCCAGUAUC